GAUGAACGCUGGCGGCGUGCUUAACACAUGCAAGUCGAACGGAAAGGCCCUGCUUUUGUGGGGUUCUCGAUUGGCGAAGGCGGGAGUGACACGUGAGUAUCCUGCCCUUGACUUUCGGGUAACAUCAGGAAACUGGGGCUAAUAUCGGAGAGGAUCUCCUGCAGCAUGGUGGUGGUUGGAAAGUUUCGGCGGUGGGGGAUGGACUGGCGGGUUAUGGGCUUGUUUGUGUGGUAGUUGCUUACCAAGGCUUUGACGGGUAGGCGGCAUGGGAGGGUAGCCAGCCACAUUAGGACUGCGAGACGGACCAGAAUCGUACGGGAGGCAGCAGUCGGGAGUAUGACACAGUGGGCGGACGCCUGAGACGGAAACGCCGCGUGCGGAAUGCCGGCCUUCGGGGUGUGAACAGCUGUCGCCUGAGACGAAGAGGGAGUGACGGUAACGAGUAAAGAAGCACCGGCUAACUACGUG
rnacentral:rRNA from 1 species